AUUGAACGCUGGCGGCAGGCCUAACACAUGCAAGUCGAGCGGUAACAGGAAACAGCUUGCUGUUUCGCUGACGAGUGGCGGACGGGUGAGUAAUGUCUGGGAAACUGCCUGAUGGAGGGGGAUAACUACUGGAAACGGUAGCUAAUACCGCAUAACGUCGCAAGACCAAAGAGGGGGACCCUCGGGCCUCUUGCCAUCGGAUGUGCCCAGAUGGGAUUAGCUUGUUGGUGGGGUAACGGCUCACCAAGGCGACGAUCCCUAGCUGGUCUGAGAGGAUGACCAGCCACACUGGAACUGAGACACGGUCCAGACUCCUACGGGAGGCAGCAGUGGGGAAUAUUGCACAAUGGGCGCAAGCCUGAUGCAGCCAUGCCGCGUGUAUGAAGAAGGCCUUCGGGUUGUAAAGUACUUUCAGCGGGGAGGAAGGGAGUAAAGUUAAUACCUUUGCUCAUUGACGUUACCCGCAGAAGAAGCACCGGCUAACUCCGUG
rnacentral:rRNA from 1 species